GUCAACAAAGACGUCUUUCUGCACUAUAUAAAUGAAAAAAGAGCCCAGUCUGGCCGUGCACAGCCACACCAUGGAUCCAUUCAUCAUUGCGCUUAAAGACAGAGGGAUACCGGAGGAGAACCUAAACUAAAUGGCACAAGACAAGGUCUAUUGUGUGAUAUGAUGUCAUGUAAUGAGGAAAACAAGAUUUGAGGAGAAAACAUUUUUCUAGUUUUAUAUUUGCAUUUUAUUGUUUUUUAUUACAAAAAUAAACACUUAAUCUACAGAUAUCUUAUUUCUCCAAAUAAUAGGUCACAAGAAACGAUAAUAUAGAAAACGCGCCCACAGUUUUUGGCGCCCAGACGUGGGGCAGGAGGCGGCCGGCUGACUCGUCGAGCGGGAAGACCUCAGCGAUCUGUCUUCUUGAAGUAGACUGCCGCUACAGUGUACACCGGCAGCAGAGUAAGC